UUCCGGUGCUUUAUAAGACUCAUUUCAGUGAUUGGGGGAGGCUCAGUGGAAGCGCUGUCCUGGCAUGUAUAAGUCUCAGGGGUCUCUCCCUAGAGUGAGAAAAAAAGGAAAGGAAAAGAGGGAGGGAGAGAGAAGGGAACUUGUUGUCAUCAAGUCAUCUCUGAAUAUCUUGGCAUGGAAUAAUGUCAAAAAUGUCCUCAAAUUACCCACUUCAUUUGCUACACACUUAAAAACGCCCGCCUUUAGUUCUCCCACAAUGAAGUUUCCUAAAUAUUGUAUUUAAAGUACCGCACAAUGGAAGACUGGAAACUCAGUCCCUCGCCCAUCGAGUGACUCACGUCUCCGUUGAUGGUGCCGGCGUAGCUGCCCAUCACAGAUUGGGUGCAGGCAGAGCCCACAUGCUGCAUCGGACUCUGCGAGGCCACGAGACACAAUAACGAGUUGGCAGACCAUGAAGGCUACUUCCUCAGCAAGUUGAGAGUGCGGCCUACAGCAUAUUUCUCAGAUACUUGACAAUUCACCAUUCAAGGGCCAUAAGAAGUUAUGGCAGAGGUCAUCAGUCUAACAUCGCCCAGUAAAAAGAUGUGGUAAACAGCAGGUAUCCAAUAAAUUAUUAACUGCUAAUGAGAAAAAUAUUGGAAGGGACAAAUAAUAUUUAUAAUACCAUUAUAUUUGAUCAAUUACAAAAAGCCUCCAUGAAAUCCUGAGGAGUGGUUUUGUUUGUUUGCUUGUUUUGUUUUUUUGUUAAAGUAACUGUGGUAUUUAACAAAAGUAGAUCAUUUCUUUUGGUUUCAACUGUGAGAACAGAAGCUGAUCUCAUCAUUGCUUAGGAAUAAAGAUUUUUAACCUUCAAGUUUUUGUCAAACUUUCAAGGUCCCUUGAAAAGGAAGCAGAAAACCAAGCUGAGUGUAAUGUCACAUCCCUGUAAUCUCAGUGCUUGGGAAACAAAGGCAAGAAACAAGAGAAUGGCUACAAGUUCAAGGCCACCCUGGCCUACCUAGUGCACUCCAGACCUACUAAGGUUAUACAAUGAGUCCCUAGCUCCUUCCAUGCUGCCCCUCCUGAAAAAGAAGCAAAAAGCGAAACUUAUAUUGUCUGCAAAUCACAGGGUUAUUUGCAACUUUCUUAUCAACAUACUGCUCACUUGUCUUAGCUUUUAUGAUUCAUGAGAUGACAGAAAGAAUUCUCAAGACACAAUGAAUUACAAUCAAAAUAACUUUAGGUUUAAAGUAGUGAUAACAUUGAACGAGAGACGAGAAAACCACAGAGGCCCCUACUGCCUUCCUUAGAGGUUUGCAGCCUACCAUCUUCUCUGCGUACAUAGGUAGGGCUGAAUGUCCAGUUUCCCUCAGAGUCUCCACUGUGGAUAAAAGACACCCAACUCAAAGGGCGACCUCAAAUCACCAUAUGAUAGAAUUGUCCAAACCUUAUUUCUCAGACCACAAUCUUGAAAUUAUGAUGUAGUAGAUAUUAGUGAGGCAAGUUUUGUGAGACUGUUAAAGGUUCCUAAGUUUCUGAUGUUAGGGUAGCUAAAAUGACCAGGCAACCUUUCCUGACACACACUGACGAAUGUCCAUAGAUAAUAUGAGUAACAUUAAGGUAUUGUGAAAGUUUCAACUGUCAUCUUCACAUAAUCUAGAAUCCCAAGGGAGGAAAGUCACCAGAAGAGACUGUCUACAUCAGGAUGCCCUGUGGGCGUGUCUACUGGGGAUGGCACUGAGUGUGUUGAUUGACAUGGGAAAACCCAGCCUACCAUGGGCAAUACCAUUCCUUACAUUUGGAUCUUAGAUGGUGAACAAAGUAGCAAAAGUGAGUGGAGUCCUGGCAUGUGUGUGGCAACUCUCUUAUCUCUGCCAUUGAGUGUUGGAAAAAGAGAGAGAGAGAGGGAGAGAGUGACAGAGAAAUUAACUGGCUCUCUCUCAAGCAUCAGAAAAAGUUUCUUUUGCCAAAGUUUGCAGGAAGCCUUUGCUCAUUUUUUUUAACAUCCAAACUAGCCCAACUAUUGACUUCAUUGACAACAGAUCCAGGAUUUCUGAUGUUCACUUAGACAAACCACACCUGGGCAGGAAAUCGGUUAGGGAAGUUGAUGACCAUCACUUAAACCCAUUAAAUCACAUGGAACAAAGGGAGAAAUGGAAGAAAGCUCAGACCUGUGCCUGCAGAAUUGACUUGAGAAGGAGCAGACAGUGAGUUAGACAGGAGUGACCAGUGAGGGAUAUGGACACUGCAGUGCCACCUCACAAAGGGGGGAUUGUGCAUAUGUCACCGAGACUGACUAGCAGACAGAAGGGUAAUUAUCGGAAUCUCUUAGAAUAAAGUAAGCCCAAUGCACUGUAGACCAUUCUUUAUGGAUUUUAGCUAGCUAUAGGAUAUCAAGCCAAACGCACACAGUCCAGGUGCUAGUGUGCUGGCAUUCUUGGUUGGCAGAGUUUAUGGCUCUUUUCACGCUUACUGAUUGAGCUUGAUAAUCACAACAGGUGUCAGUUUUCCAUAACUUUGUCUUAUGUCUGUCACACAUCAAUGUACAGUUAGUUAGCAUGCCCGGACCUGGGGAAAGCGAUAUGAAUAUGAAAUUGUUAAAACAUGGUAACUUUCUUCUUCACACCUGAGCAUGGGAGCUCAGUUCUUACAAGACAGCCCCCCAAUCUCUCUGGUCCAUGGCAAACUCAAAUGGAUGGCAUCCACACCCUCAUCCUAUUGUGCUCAGAAAUAGAAGCCUGGAUGGAGGAGCGGUGGAUAGAAUAUUAGAAUACUGAUCCUUCCAGAUCUCCUAACCAAGCCCUGGGUGAGAUGGAACCAGAUAUUGAGAGGGAAAGGGAUGCAGAAGAAUCUGAAGACAGCAAGUUCUGUAGGUGUUUGCACUUUCUUGGAUCACUUGUUUUUGUAUUGUGUGUGUGUGUGUGUGUGUGUGCGCGCGCGCGCACGCAUGCACGCGCGUGUAUACUCACACUUAUGUGUUUAUGUAAUGUGUGUACGUGUGUGUAGGGGCUGUGGUGUAAGAAUAUGUGAGUGAGGGCUUGUGGAAGUCAGGAGACAAUUUUCAGGAAUUGGUUUUUCUACUUCUACCGUGAGAACCUGAACACAGACCAUCAGUUGUCGAAGCAAACGUUUUUACCUCAAAGGUCCCUGACCUCUUUGCUUAAAAUUCUGUUUCCUCCUUGAAAUUCUGAACUCCUUCAGUGAAGGGCUUAUAUUUUACUUACGUUGUAUUCACAGAGCUUAAAUGGGAUGGCAUAUCUCUGAGAAAAUGUUGAGCAAAUGUAAAAAGGAAAGGUAAAAUGGACUAGGUAAACCAAAGGCUACAGUUGCAUAGAGGAAACUAAGAAUGUUUGCAACUCUUUGAAGCUAUUAGUGAUGAUGUGAAGCCUGGCAGGAAGACCUCCAUGUUUACUGUCCCAAAGGGCCAUCAGUACCCUUAAACUACUGGUUCAAAUUGGAGUGGUUUAACUCUGAGAGCAUCUGGAGAUAUUCUGACUUGUCACAGCUUGGGGAAAUAUGGGACUAUUGGCAUCUAGUUGGUAGGGGAUAGGGGUAAUACUAACACAGAACAAGAAACACAUACAGCAAGUCCCCAGGAAGGUCAGCCUAGGAGAGUUGACAUUUGGGUGGACCAUGGCCAAAGUCAAGAGUUCGUGUACCAUAGGAGGACAAAUGUUUGCAGACACAGGAAAAAGGGAUGCCUAACAGAGAUCACCACAGAGAGUGUCCAGGCACCAAAUGUUAAUAGUGUUGAAGGUGAGACACCUUGCUUAUUUACAUUCUCUGUGGUUUCCUGGCUAGUACCUGGGCAUUUCCUUCAUACUUCCUUACAGCAGAGUCUAUUGUUAUCCAAGUAAUGUUACCUGGAAAACCAGAACCAAUCCUAGAUUUCAGGAUCACAUGGAGCUAUGAAAAAAUGAUCUGCAAAGGGUCUGUGUAGAAUGCCCCUGAACAUCAGUUGUCAAUAAUUGAGUUUUAUCUCCUUAUACUUAUUUCUCUGAGUAGAAAUUCGUUAAUUAAGGACCUAGUCUAGAAUGGGCAGAGUGUACAACAAGCAAUGGAUGACGAAUGUGUGUGGCAAUGUGUGCUUUGUUGAUCCCCCCAAACUAUACUUAGAUGGCCAAUAACACAACACAACACAACACAAAACAGCACAAUACAAGGCAUCUGUGGCUACUAAAGUUCUUACUGGGGACCGAUCAGGAGGAUGGUAUCUGACAAGCUGCAGGGUGCUAAAUAAAGGCUCUAUACAGCUGUACAGAGGGGCGUGACUCCCAGGAUAAGGCCUGCCAUGUGUGGAUUGUUCCAAAUCUGGCAGAUUUCCGUGCAGUCACAUCUGCGUUCAUCGUUGUGGCGUCUCCCAUUACAAUUUUACAUGACGAUCUUGUUUGUAAUGCCUUAAGUUGCCUUCAAUAGACUUGAUGAUUGGACACAGCAAAUAUUUGUUUCCAUGAGACUGAAAAUAACAAGGACUCUGUUGAAACAUGCCUUUUCCUUCUGUCUGUAAACGUUUGUCUCCCUUCAGCACGUGAACUCUUGACUGUGGCCAUUCAUACAUGCCCCGGCUGCGUCUUUUAUUCCCUCCUGUGUUAGACAGUGCCGGUGAAGGCCACUCAAAUGUCAUUGCCUGAAUGCCACUGAGUUUCUUGAUCACCUGCUGCAUGUGCCCUUUGGGCUGUGUGUGCAUAUUGUGGGUUGGAAAAUACCUUUGAGGGCAGCUGCUGGAUUGCGAAUAGAAGGUGUUCCUAUAGGAUGCUACCUUGGCACACACCUCCAUGUUGGCACCUCUGUUCCUAUGACAAGCAAACUGAUUGCUCUCGCUGUACAUUCCCAAGGGGUCCCAUUUCCUCUUCGUGCAAAUUAGUGUAGCAAAGGUUGCAUUUCUCUAUCUUAUGAUUCCUGUGAGUUCUCCUCCUUUGAGGGCUGUGUUAGCAGAAUUGAUAUGGUGUGAGACUGAUGGCUUUCUACAGGUAGGCCUCCAGAAUGAGUUCCAGUACCAUAUGUCCCAAGGAGGGAGGGGAUUCACAUUAAAAUAGAUAUGUGUGUAUACACAUACUUGUGUCUGUGUGUUUCUGGUCUUGUGAUGCUAAAUAUUGUUGCUUAAAGCAGCCAUGAAAAAUUGAAAUUAGUUUUCAAGUUCAUAGUAAGGGCAAAUGAAUCCAAAAUGGGAAAUAAAAAUGCACAGGCCAGGACUGAGUUCACAGACAUCUCAGAGGCUGACUUUAUACAUUUCACUUUCGGGUCACUGAGCAUCUUGGUAACCUGCAUUUUCAGAAUGCCUAUCUCGCCUAAUAGUUUCAGAAUAAAAUAAAAGUAUCAUCUAGGAAAAAAAUGUGUUCUUGUUGAUCCUUUGUUUUCUCAGAUAUCUUCUUAGGAAUGCUUUUGGAGGGUAAUCUUGCAUAAAAAAAAUGUAGGACAAACUUGGAGCUUCUUUCUAUAUAUUUUGGGAAGACUUCUUCAUAAGAAACAGUCUCCCUUGUGGGCUGGAAGGCAGCGGCUGAGAUGAACAGUCCUGGGUAGUUUCAAACCCUGCCUUGGGAAGAGAGCUCAAGGCCUACUUCGGAGUGUCCAGGUCAGUCAGUCUCUUCGGACUCUCACUACUCUCUGGCGAAUUUUUGGAAUGGAACCUUCUGCCAAUUCUUCACUUUUAUGCUAGGGCCCAUAAACUGUCAAAGAAGUAGGUGCCAUGUUACUGAAAACACCUUGGUUAUUUGCCUCAGAUGACUCCAUUUAAAAACCAGAGGGGAGAUGCUUGUAAGGUUCCAGAGACUACAGAGCAUCUGUUCAUGGAGAAGCAGGCAGUGACUAAGUGUCCUUCCUUAUCUGAACGGGUGCGUGCACACAUACAUAAUGCAUGCUUGCGUGUGUGUGCACAUGUGUUUACAUGUGUGCUUGUGUGCCUGUAGAGGUCACUGCAAUCUUCUGAAAGGGAGCAGGUGCUAGCUGGGCCCAGUGCCAAGUGGACCCCAGAGGCAGAAAAGCGGGGCUGGCUCAAAGCUGUGGCCCUGCCCAUUGCUGCCCUGUGUCAGCUGGCAGGGCACUGCCCUCAAAGAGGCUGCUCAAAGAGCAAAGGGGGUUCUUGUCAUCGAGGCUUGGGGUUCUCAGCCAGGCGAGAAGAGCUGAGAAUCCAUCAUUCCGUUGGCAGAAGGCCUCGUGGUGACAGAGGGCUAGGCUGGAUGCACAAAGCAAAGAGUCUGUGGCCCCGACUUCUGAAUGGAUGUUUUCUGGCAAUUCUUCCCUUGAGCUAAAUCACAGGCUGAAUAGAUGACAUAGACUCUUAAGCCUUUUGUAGAAAACAGGCCUACUUUGAUACAUUCACAAGUAAAAUUAAUUCAUUAUUCAAAUUGCUAAAGAAAUGGCAUCCACAUAAUCUGUUUUUAUUUUCUGGUAAAUGCACAAAACACUCUGUGCUAUUUUUAAAUUUUAGAACUUUGUAAAGUGUUAAAAUAAGACUGCAGAUUUAGUUACUGGCUGACUAAAAAAAUGUCUUCUUUAGGAAUAACUGUGAUUAAUGCAAAUGAGGGCAGGACCUGUUUCAGGAAAAGAGGGGGCAGGAAGUGCCCAAUUCUAGUUGUUCAUGUUAGUAAUUCAGUUGAGAGCAUUGCACAAUGGAUGAAAAACCUGAAGCCAAGACUCCUCUCACUCCAAAUGUAAAAGAAAUAUGACCAUAACGGUCCAUCCCGUCCAUCUAACCAGAGCUGUGAACACAGGCUUGGGCUCUAGUAGCCAAAAUACUUUCUGAUAUGAAACGCUGACCCCGGGGAGAGCUCAAGAUGGACGGAGGUGCAGAUCGCUGAGACCCUGCCCAUGGUGAGGCUGAUGAGGAUGGGACUGAAGAAUGUUCCAAGUCUGGUCCAAAAAGAGGCUCUCAGCUGACCUUACAGAGCAUGCGCAGUGCAAGUCCAACCCCGUUUUAAAGUAAAAGGAGAGAAUAUUUAAGAGGCCGUGUGUGUGUGUGUGUGUGUGUGUGUGUGUGUGUGUGUGUGUGUGUGUGUAUGUGUGUGUGUAUAACAUGCUUUUAAGGCACUGGCCACAGGAAGGGAGGCUUCUAGGUAAAAUACCAGACUUGAAGCUGCCUCUGACAGGCCUAGUAAUGAAGAGUGGUGAUCGGAAAGAACACCAUGGACAGGCAUUGAGCCCUCAACCAGACCCUAAGUCGCCCAGCACCUUGUUCUUGGACAAAAUGCUUCCUGAAUGGGUAAAAAUAGCUUUUUCUUUAUGACCCAUUUGUUUGCGAGCCACUGUGCUUUGCUAGAGCAGCCAGAGCCAAGAGAGCCGAGCGGUAUCUUCUGCAGUUAGGGGUUGCUCUCAGCACACUGUGGAUCCGGGCAGUAUAAAGGGCAUCUUUGCCAGUUAGUGGGUCUGCCCAUUAGUGCUUGGUCGCCUUCUGCCCUAAUCCAAAGUUUGGUUUCCAAGGAAUCUUAAUCAUGAAAGUGCAUUUGCAGAUACGACAGCCCAGCCGGUCCUCCAGAUGAGAAAAUUGUCUUAAAGCAGACCAUUAGAAUUUGCCUCCCCCGGUCGGUCCCUGCCCCGAUUCUUACUCUUGGGCCCCACGUGUAGUCACAUUUCCCGAUCUGAACAGCUCUGGAUUAAGAACAUGGGACUUUGCUAACCAACAGCUGGGUACUGCCAUUGGUUUUUACUUUGGGGUGUAUAUAAAGGUCUUGCUCACCACAUCCCAUAAUAGCUUCAUUGUGACAUCCUGUCGGAGAUCUCUGUACCAGGAACAGUCUUACCGUUUGUUGGUUUCUUCUUCUGGUGGGCAUGGUGAGUCUUGCAGCAUUGUGUUCCACCCCCCCCCCCCUCUUUGCUUAAUGGUUCGUUAGAAAGUGGAAGCUAAAUUUGGGACAUGGCUCUGAAAAAGGAAAAUGCUAAUUUUACCCUUUGCUUUAUUAGCUCUGUAAUAGUUCCGUUCGCUUUGGCACUGACCCCUUCGAGAGUGAUAUAUCCUUUUGUGAUUCUUAUGUUAACUAAAUGAAUGUUUUUCUCUAUUCUGAAGAAAUGAUAAAAAUAAAAGGUCUUGGGGCUGGAGAGAUGGUUCAGCAGUUAAGAGCUCCUAGUGCCCUUCCAAAGGACCCGGGGUUCAAUUCCCAGCAUCCACAUGGCAGUUCACAACUGUCUGUAACCCCAAGAGCCAACAACUUCACACAGACCCAAAUGUAGGCAGAACACCAAUGCUCACAAACUUUAAAAAAAAAAAGACUUAAAAUAAAAGUCCCAAGGGUUUGUAGGUAAAAUGGGAAAAGUAGCCCAUGAAGCCCAAUGCAAACCACUGUGAGCAGGUCAUGGCUGUGGAGCCCAGGCAUAGAAGAGGCUGGGGUCAAAUGGCAUGCCCAUUCCACAGGAUGCCAGCUCUGUACUUUGGGCCAUUUGUUUUGAGUCAAACAACCAUCUUAGAGUUUGUGUUCCCAGCACGUUCUCCACAGGACCUUUGGUCCUUGUCAAGGUUCUGAGAUAAAACGAAUUGGGACACUCAAGGACUGUGUCUAGGUUUUUCAAACCCACACUGCAGAUUUUAAGGAGACCUUCACAUGAGCGAUGUGUGACUCUCCAGGAGGCAGGCUCGGUGGUACAUGGUUUCCAGAGUUAUUUGCCGAUUUAUUUUUUCUGGAACAUCUCCAAGAGCUAAGCUUCUUUGAGAAAUGCUCGGCCAGAACAUCACCAUGAUGGGUAUUAUUAUUAGAAAGAAUUUGUUGUUUUCUCUUAAAAUACACAGGGCAAUGGCUUAGAUAGUUACUGCUCGGAUUCUUAAUACCUAAUUUUAAAAUUUAAAGCAACAGUACAUAGGUAUAAAAGCAGUAACAAUCCCAGGGCACCUCAGGUCUCAGUGAGAGACUCUGUCAAAGAAUAAGGUGGAGAGCACCUGAGAAGACACCCAGGGUUGACGUUUGGCCCACCCAUGCACACUCACAUGUGUGUGCACACUCCUUAUAAGCCAUUCAUGGUGUUUUAUAGAUGUAUUUAGUCUGCCUUUUUAAUUUUUCUUUUUUAGACAGAUUCACGUACCUUAUGCUGGCCUUAAACUUGUAAACAAAACAAAACAAAACAAAGAUGCCCUUAAUGUUGUGAUCAUCUCAGGUCUAUCUCUGAGUGCUGAGAGCACAGGUGCAUCUUCAUUACGGGUUUAUGCAGUGCAGGAAGGCAAACCUAGGGCCCUGUGCAUUCUAGACAAGGACUCCACCAACCACGGUUCCUCCCCACCCCCAGUGAAGUCUUGUAUACUUAGGAUAACUCAAUGAUUAAGAUUUUCAUCCAUAUGAUAGUGUAAUGUUAAAGUGGAUGAAAACAUGCAAAUUUGAUGAUAUAUUUAGACUUCAUUCACAAAGGCACAAUAGUAAUGCAAUUAGAGCCCAGGAUCAGACAUAGCUUCAAUAUAUGCCCUUAGGAAAGUUACCAACUGGAAGUAUUGAGUAUUGCAUAGGUAUUAUGAUCUAUCUACCUCAUAGACUUCUAAGAUUAAAUUCAUGAAUGUACACAUUACACACACACGCUCCCCCACAGACACUAAUGCUCGCACAUACUAGCACAUCUUUUUAUGUCAUAGCAUGGGAUUCUCAUAUGUAAGUGCCUAAUUAUGUUGAUUCUAUGGGGACAAGGUGGAAUUUCUGAAGUUUCCUAGAAAAUGGGAACAUUAAUGGUAGAGUAGAAAAGAUGAGCAGGUGUUAGGCACAGAAAUGGCAGGCUCCUGUCUAAAGCAGACUUACACCGUGAAGUAAGGCAGAGUAAACUCAGAAAGAUCAUCAGAGUGUGAACAGAAACAUGGCACCAGAGAUCAGCAGUGGCUGAAUCACAGAGCCUUAAAUCCAAAUGAGACACACUGCUAAAUCAUAGUCAGGUAGUGGGAGCCAACGAGGUGUUUCAACAGUGAAGAGACCUCCUCAGAGUUGAUGCAAGGCAGUACUAUACCCGGGGCUGAGUGCUAACCAUUGCCUGGCAACGAAAUGGUCAGACCCUGCUUAGAACUACUGAAUCCAUCUCUAAAACAGGCUACAGAGGAUUGUUCUUGGGCAAGUUCUCGUGCCAGGUUGUUUUACUGUGGAAGUUGGAGAGGGACUCCUUCAGAUGGAGGACUGCGGUUCAUGGAGGUUAGGACCUUCUCCACUUAGAUCCGGGGGCGGGGGGGGGGGGAGGGUACAGAGACCUUCUGCAGGCAAGUGAUGGUGGGGGUGUCUAUGCUCAGUAAACAACAGCAGAGAAAAAAGGAGGAGAGUCGGUGACCAACAGAAAUCUGAUAGAGUUGACUCUCUGGAAACUCAGUCACUACCUGGCUGUUACAUUAAGAAAAGGGGGGAGGGGAGGAUUCAGCGAUGACUCCCAGGUUCCCUGCAUCAUCAACAGAUUAUACUGCUAUGAAUUAAUAUGAAGAUUGUAGCACCAGUAUAAAGCUUUGGAAGUAUAGUGGGGGGACUCAGAUGAUGCCACACAGAUCACCGAAUGUUGGACUUAUGGCCCCUCCACGCCCCAAAUACACAGGACUAAAAUCUCGAGUGUCUCACAUAUUUAGGCUUCACAAACAUCCAGAGUGGGGGUGAGGAGCCGGAAAGUACAACCAGAAAGAGGACAGCGUAGAGAGUCUGGGUUAGCAUCGGAUGUUUUGUGGGCCUGUAUCCAAGGCAUUUAUCUCUUGAAUCUCCUCCUAGAGCAUUUCCUCUGAGCACUCGACACACCAGAUUUGCUAACCCACUUGAGGUUCUCUGACCACAGCUGCUGCCACAACCCCAGGCCUUUACUCAUGCCAUAGCCUCGGCAGUGAUGGUUUUAGCCAAGAUGGCUUCUGUGGUGCCAGCUUCAUACCUAGUUGAAGCAUACAUAGUUGGCUGGUAAAGACAUGAAGUCCUGGCUGAGAGCAGCCAGCUCACACAGAGAAGUGGCAGAAAGAGAGAGAAAGAGAAAGAGACAGAGAGAGAGAGAGAGAGAGAGAGAGAGAGAGAGAGAGAGAGAGAGAGAGAGAUGACUCAGAGGAUGUAUCACUGGAGUGAGAUGAUUCAUCAUGCCUGUGUUGCUCGAUAGAACCCGAGCUACCCAGGACUCUGAAGCAAAGCAGAGAAACAAGAGAAAGUAGACAAGUCCCAGCCUGGAGGCAGAAGAUGGAAGUCUAUGCAAGAGUCAUUUGAAAUUGGAGGAGGCCUGGUGGAGAUAGGUUUGAUGUAGACCAGUUCAUAGGAUCAUGGUAGUAAAUUUAGGGGUGGAAUAUUGACAACUUCAUUCCCCCCCCUCCCCAAUGAAACAGGGUCAAGUUGAGUAUGAAAAUCCCUCUGUCUCUGUCUUUCUCUUUGUCUCUGUCUCUGUCUCUCUAUUUCUGUCUUCUGUCUCUCUGCCUGUCUGCCUGUCUGUCUAUAGAAACAGGCCUUUUUCUCUGUUUGGAGAAAGGGCCAAGGGAAUAUUGCUUGUAUCUAACAGGAAAGGAUCCAACUCUUCAUUCAAAGUCUUGGUAGGGAGACUCCACUAGAAACAGGCCAUUUUCUCCAAAGGAAGUCUUAGCAGUGUCUGUUAUGACACUGUUAUGCAAGGUUUAUUGAUUGAUUUUAUUUUUAAAAAGAUUUACUUAUACAUUUAUUUUAUGUGUGUGAGUGUUUGUCUACAUGUUUGAACAUGUACCACAUGUGUGUCUGUUGCCCAUGGGGAAGAUGGCAUCAGAUCUCUUGGAACUGGAAUGACAGUUUCAAGCCACCAUGUGGGUGCUGUGAACUGAACUUGGGUCCUCUGCAGGGGUAGUGAGUACUGUUAACAGCUGAGCCACCUCUUCAACUCCUGAUUUUCAUGAAGACUUUUUAUUGGGACGGUGCAGAAGGUCAAGGGUCAUUUCUAAGCAGAGUUUUAUGCUCCAUGGACUAACAUGGACGAAACUCUCCAUUGAAAGUCCUCACCUUCCAUAAUUCAAACACAUUAUUUUAACAUCUGUCUAUGUCUGUACUAUAUAAAUGACCCAGGCACUCACUAACAGUGCAGUCCACGGGAGCCAGCAACAUUGUAGGUGGACAAAGACCUGAUUCAUUUUAUUUCUUUGGUUGAGUUUGUCUUAUCGCUUAACUCUUGACUGUGAACAAACCAUGCUGUGCUAUAUCUCGGGAACUGUCAGUCAGUGUAAGGUCUGAGAUAUGUACCUGAAGCAUGAUGGCUUUAUGUCUUUAGGCACCCUAAUAUGAUGGUAAACAUUGAUACUGAGCUAUAGCUUAAUGUCAUGUAUAUGUUACAGGCUUCCUUAGAGCAAUAAUAUAAAAUCUUCAUGAUCAUCCCAGGAUGUAGAAAAUGGUUCAGUCUUGUUUUGUAAAGGAAACAGAUCUAAAAGGAAGGGCGUUGAAGGUGGUGUGGAACACACUGAUAUCGCCUGUCUCUUCUCCCAUCAGCUGGCGUGAAAUUAGCUUCCACUUUGACUCGGCCGAAGCGUCUCUGUUUGUUAUAAGGAUUAUAAAAUAAUAAAAUGUGAUUUGUAAAAUAUCACCAAACAUUGGUAUCUAAAGGGAAUAUGUAUUUCCCGACAUCACAAGUAAAAUGUUUACACAGCUGACUGGCGUUCAUCCAAGUCACAUCUUCACUAAAAGGCACAAGCCUUUAUCUUCCUUCCACGACGGACAUUGUUUUUCUUAACCAAGAAACAAAGAGGUUCCUCUGCCACAAAGUUAUUAAUAAGAAACAGCAACUCAGCAAGGCCACUUUUGCUGGUAGUUGAGUUUAACCCCCCUCACGUUGAAUCUCACACCAUGUGAGCUGCACGGUGUUCUUGGGUAAGCGUAUAACACAUUAUCAACGUGGCAACAAACACGGGUUUUUUGUUUGUUUGUUUGUUUUGUUUUUUAACCACUUUCUGGUUGUCUAAGAAGUGCCAGUAUAGUGUCCUAAAUGCAUUAAUAUCAGAGAUUCCAACAACCCUGAGAGGGAGGGUGAUGGUCUCUAGAGACAGGAAGGACUGCUGGAUACUCAGCUGUUGAGAAAAAUGUGUCAUUCACUGAAGGGAGAUCACAGACAGGAAGCAAGCACGUCAGGGUCACUAGUGUUCACAUGCAAGCAGACUCUCAAAGGUGCUGUGUUCUUCUUUGGGGUGGAGUGUGCUUCUGUGGGGGAUGGGAUCUUCUUAAGGGACAGUUGAUGCAGCUGGCUGGCCACUGAGCAUGUAAGAUGAGAAGGAGCAUUUGACCACUGCUUUUUCUUUUUUCUUCCCCCCCCCCCCCCCGCAAGCCUUAUUACAAGUUCUGGAAAAAUAUGUGUGGCAGUUCCAAAUGGCCAGGUGUUUGGAGAAGCCAGCUGGCAGAGGGCAGCUGAUCAUGACAGGGGAAAGCAUUUUGAAAAAAAGUGUGGAGUGAGACUAAGAGGGGUCACAGGACAGUUCCCAGUGCGGGGGAGGGACUGUCGAUAGGUCACAGAUUUUAUGUGGAUCAAUUAACGAAAGACGUCCAUAUUUGAGGGUGCACAGUCUCAGAAAAUCUGCUUUUCAUAUGCAGAGAUGGACAACCAGCUCGGAAACAAGUGUGCCUUCUGAGGCUGGAGGGCCAGUGUCAACCACGUGGGGGCCAUGUACUAGGCUGUGCAACUUAGUAAUGCUGAACGUCUCAAGUGGCUGGAGCUCAAAGACUGGUCUCUAUUACAAGACAACUCCCACCAUUUUGAAUGCAAAGAUGCAAACCUGCUAAAAGGCAGACAAAUUCAGUGUUAUUAUGGACUAAUGAAAAAAUAAUCCAAAACUUUUAGAUUUUGAACUUUCCCAUCCAGCAAAAAUUAUAUAAGAAUCACUAUGAGUUUUUAGUUAUUUCGGUCUAUGUAUCUUUAGUCUCACUCUAGUGCCUCAUGAUGUCCCUUACAUUCCCAAGACAACAAAAUCAUACCACCACCACCAAACUAGACUCACCACACACAGGCCGCCAUCACGGUAGCUGAGGGAUGCUGUCAUCCCAGGUCUGCAGACUAGGAGGCUGAGUCUGAGGCAGGGAACUGAUAGAAGCAAAACUAAGAAAAAUGUCUGACACAUAAUGGGGACAAAAAUUGCUCUCACACUACCUAAGCCAAGUUGCUGGUUGUAGCAACUCCCGACUCCAUAUAGAGAUAAAAAGUACAGGCUGGAGAAAUGGCUGAAAGGCAGCCAUGGAUAACUUAUUUAAGGAGAAAAAGUUGAUGUGAAACAGACUCAAAGUCUGUAAAAUGAGGCUAGUAUUUAAUUAUUUUUUCAUAUCCUCAAGUCCUCAGCCUGUGAUUGAGGACCUUGAGGAAAUAUUGGAGCAGUAAAGCAUGAGAGAGAGAGAGAGAGAGAGAGAGAGAGAGAGAGAGAGAGAGAGAGAGAGAGAUGGGGGCAGCUGCAGUCAGGCAGUCAAGGACUUGCAGGAGGCCCAGAACAUAGAGUGGUGCUGUGGUCUGUGUGGUGUGGCCAUCUGUCAUGGCCCAUAAACCCUCCGGGCUUUGGCUCCCAAACCUGAAAAACUUCACUUCUUUUGUGGGGACCUUGGGGGGGGGAUUAACCAGGCUCCCUCCCCUGACACAGCAGUCUAUUGUCACACAUAUGUUCAAAUUGGGCCCCUGUCUCCUGGGGGAGUGGUGGUGGGGAGAGCUGCUUUUCCUUUAUACAAACACAGAUGUAAUUAGCUGACCACAGAACCAAGGCUAUCCCUUGCCAGUCCCAACACUUGCUCACCCUCUCCCUGCCCCGUCGCUAGGUUCCAUGCUUCAGGUAAGAGCUCUUUCAGUUCCUCCUCCUCCUCCAGGCAGUUACAUCAGGAGAACCCAGGGAAGACCCAGGCAGGUCUGCCAGAAACCAAAGCAAGCAAACAGAUGAACAUGCUCUUCCAUUCUGAACUACAGCAGAGGGAGAGCCUGCAGGAACUGGCUCUCGCUGUGGGUAGCAGAAAGCAAGUAGGAGCAUGAGGUGACUGGGGGCAUUUGGUAACCAAGCGCUGGCUGAAAGCUGAGAAAUAAAAUCCGGGCACUUCAAACCAGGAGCCUGAGUUCUUAAAUGCAGCCUUAGAUUGAAUUCUGCCCUCCCAGUUCUGAUUAAUGGCCCGGUGCAUUCACCUGUCAGGACCUUCACACAGGAAGUGGUGAAGGGGGUGUGCUCUCCCGCUCUUCUCUCUGCUCCACCGUGGCCUUAAGACUGUCUAGCUUCCGUCCAUUUUGCCUACCUGUAGAGAGAAGACAUUCCGUCCUGUCUCUUUUUAGCUGACAGGUUCCAUCAGGGUAUGAGACCUUGCAGAAAGGUGCAGGCAAUAAAAUUCUUUAGAGGAAAGUGGCAGAUUGUCUCCUAGGCAGGAAAUCACAGUGACCUGAGGUUGAUAGGGUGGGAGGAUAGAUGUGUGUGUGUGUGUGUGUGUGUGUGUGUGUGUGUGUGUGUGUGUGGUGUGGUGUGUGGUGUGUGGUGUGUGUGUGUGUGUGUGUGUGUGUGUGUGUGUGUGUGUACACCGUCGACCCAAGUGCUCUACUGCAGUAGUAUCUGUUUGGUAAAUCUAUCAGGUAAAGCUCCAGGACUGAUUACCAGUCUGCAGCUAGGUUUGUAUUCUCUGUGUAUUGUAAGACCUGAAAAUAGCCCAAUGCUUCAGUCUAGCAAGGAUGCUCAGCAGAGCUGCCAUCACCUUACCCAACCUCCGGAUGUGUGUUUUCCACAUGAGUAGCAGGCCAGGGAGUCAGGUUAGGUUGGCCUGGGUGUAAUCCACUCAUGGAUGGUUCUAAUUCACAGACAAGGAGACAGAUACAAGGUUUAGAGAUCCUUCCGAAUGCAAAACGCAGGACUCCUUAGGCUAUUGGGUUGGGUAAAGGGACAUGCUGUAGUGACAUCGCUUCAAGGAGAAGGCAUUGGAAAUAAAUGGAGGCUGUUCUGCACCAGGAAACAUGGUUCACAGGAAGCCACAGGGGCCGCUUGAUCUCUUCCCACCUUGUUCCUGUCGUUAAUCUGUUUGCAUGAGGGAUUAUUAUGGUCCCUGUCUCCCGAACUCAGAUACCCAUGCAUGCUCGGGUGCUCAGGAAGCUGUAGGCAGAAAUUACAGCUUUGGUACCAGCAGCGUGUCUGCUGCUAUCCCUGGAGACUAGACAACAGAGUAAUCUCAACAAAACCCAUCCCUUGCAGUGCACGUCAAGAUAGACGCUGAUGCCAAGCACUUGAUUUUGUCAUCCUGAUCUCUGGGUGAGUAGACUACAAAGCCAGAAAAACUAUGACAAUGCCAGUCAGAGUCAUGUGAUCUUUUUUUUUUUUUUUUCGAGACAGGGUUUCUCUGUGUAGCCCUGGCUGUCCUGGAACUCUCUCUGUAGACCAGGCUGGCCUUGAACUCAGAAAUCUGCCUGCUUCUGCCUUCUGAGUGCUGGGAUAAAAGGUGUGCACCACCACCACCACCACCGCCUGACUUGAGUCACGUGAUCUUUCUGCAUAUUGGGAAGAGCAAGUGACUGUUAAGACCUGACUUAAUUUUGGCUCUGGAAUUCCCUUCUCUGUAAAUGUAUCAAACAGCAUUGGUGCUGCUGGCACAGAGGCUCUGGGAGAGCUUGCUGUGGCCGGGGUGAUCGGCUAAGUAAGGACUUCACAGGGCUUAUCUCAUCUAAUCCUCACCCCAGCUCUAGGACGUAGACACCAUUUCCUUUCUGUCACAGGCGAAGGAGUUGAGGCUCCGGGAGAUUGUGCGGACAUGCUGAGCUAUCUUGUAGUUGGCAAACAGCAGAGCAAGGGUUAAAGCAGGCUGCAUGAUUACCAAGUCUAAGCUCUUCACACUUGGUUGCUGUCUCUGAUGCGGAGACUUCCGGGGAAAAUCGUUCACUUCUCUUGUUUUUCUGUUCCUAGGUUCAUUUCUCCUUAGAAUCAGAACCUAGAAAAAAAUUUAUCACUUAAAAAUGUAUCUUUUCUCCAUAGGCAGACUGGGUGGUGCAUGCCUUUAAUCACUUGAGAGGCAGAGGCAGGCAGCCCUUUGUGAGUUCCAGGCCAGCCUGGCCUUCAAAGUGAGUUACCUGACAGCCGGAGCUACACAGAGAAACCCUGUCUCAGAAAACAAACAAACAAACAAACAAACAAACAAAGACAGUAAAUAGAUGAAUUAAUUAAAAUGUAUCUUUCCCUAAGAGUUUGCCAGUGCAUACUGGAAAGUCAGAGUGGCUGAACUGGUUCUUUACAGAUGUAGGGAAGCCCGGAAGGAAGCAGCCAUAGCAGAGCACAAACUCCUAGCGUGCUGGAUGGUUUCCUAUGUGGGCUCUACCCACCUGCACUGCUCUUCUCUCUGCACUGAAGACUUGAAAAUAACAUUGGAUACUUUAUACUACUCCAUUUCUGCGUUAGCCAAUAAUCGUUACAACAUUUGCAUGUUUCACAAGAGAUAUCUGAGAGCAUUCCCAAUGCUAUCAUUUAAGGAUUAUGUGUGCCAGGCCUGGCCAUCUGUGCCUCUCAUUACAGGCAUAUUUUGGAUGGAGACAUGGGCAAGGUGAGGGGUAACCUUUCUUAACCUUGUCUGUCUUCCUACAGAGCAAUGAAAAGUUGCCAGGGCAGGAGGACAGCAAGUGUUUUCCUCCUCUAUAUUUGAAUGUGAUGGUAGCCAAUCCCAUUACAGGUUUUCCAGUACCCAUUAGUGACCUCACUCAUUGUGACUCCAGCCUUACAACUCUACGUGUGCAUGCUGUGUGCAUGCUGUGUGCUCCAGGUUUCCCUACGCUUGCUCCAUUGUUCACGGGGUCAGACGUGGAGGCUUUUCCCGGGCAGAGAAGUUUAUUUGGACAUUACAGAAUGGUCAGCGAUUCUUUGGGCUUCAACUUGAACAUAUACAAUGUUGCUCUCAUGGAUUCAUCGGAUCUCUGGCACCUCUGAAAACAUGUCGCAGCUUCUGUGUCCUUUGAAGCCAAAAGGCCUAAUAGUUAAAUGGCCUCAAAAGGUUCAUUUCCUUUUAAAGGGGCUACUCCUCUGAGCCCAAGAGUGUGCAUUUACUUGCUCAAGUAAAGCAUAUGGUGUCUCUCUAUCCUUGGGGUGCCUCUGCUUCUGGACAAAUGGAGGGAAGGAGACGAGAUGUCCGAGGAGGAAGAAAAUAGAUGUUUCUGUUGGCCAAAGAGCAGGUGUGGUCACUGCCCUUGCUCUAUGGCAAAUGCACGUGGAGGGAUGUUGGCCACAUCCUUUGAUGAAGGGAUUGGGCUUUCCCCCCUGUCAUUAUACACUAUACUUUGUAUCAUGGUAUAUUUAUAUAAUUAUAACAUGGGCUAUAACUAAAGUGAAGUUUGGAGUUGAUACAGAAACAUUUGCAAACCCUAGAGUGAGCAGAAAGUCGCCAUGUCCCAUUGUUCUCCCCACGUGUGUGACAUGGCAGGAUAACACUUCCCUGCCAUUCACCGUGCCUGCGUUAGCCAUGCAGUGUGCAUGGAGAGAAAGUGCGGCCUCCUGGGCACACGCAGCAAGGCAGCUUCUCUUCACUUUCUUUUCCUGCUAGCAUUGGCACACGGCUUUCUCCGUCAGCCAGGUCCCAGAUGACGUCUCGAAAAGGAUCCACACGCACUUGUAGAAACAUCAAGAGAUGUGUUCCUAUUUGAAGUUAUUUGGGUAUUAUUGAGAUUAUUAAUGAAGCCUGAUUGAUUUAAAAGCAUUUUGUCUAAAGCUCUUUUGUGAUGACAUACAGAAAUCUAAAAGCUAUAUUGCUGCAGAGCCAAAGAUUUGAUCUUUCCCUUGUUUGUUUUAACCUUAUGCUUGGCUGGGGAUAGUAAUUUGGGAAAGGACUGGAAUGAUGUUAAAAGUCCCAGACCCACAGCUCCUGCUUUGUUUCUUGUUUUUAUUGCAGGGGAUGUGUGCAACAUGAACUUUCUAUAUUCCACUCCAUCGGCUACUCCAUAUAAGGGGAGUCACACCCUCCCUGUCCAUUUCCUAAUAUAAUAACUCAGGUUCACAGAUGGGUGAAUUACACGUAGAAGAGAACUGCCUGGGUUAAUGGUUCUAGUCCACACCCAAGGGUUUGCAGGGGUGGGCUAGCUGACACAUGCCACCAUGUGGUACAGAAUAUCUCAUGCUGGGAAAUAGGGGGCUUGCAUGCAAGAACUAGUCAAACGGGCUACUCCAGACAUAACCUGGUAGCCCAAAGCCAUGAGGUCCUGAAUGAAGCUAUGUAUUCAUCGGGGUGGAGGCCUGAUCAUGUCUGUGGGUACUAUAUCUUCAUAUCUCAAAAUGAAGCUUAUAGUGUAAUAUGGGUUUCAGGGGUGAAAUGGAUACAAAGCAGGUCAUGUGUUUGGAGCACUGUUUUGUGUCUAGCGCAUUUAAAACAUCUUCCUCCUCUCCUUCCUUCUCUUCUAUGUCUCCUCCUGUUUUCUCCUGUAAAAAUAUUGGAUUCUGGGUUUUGUUGGCAAUCAUUCACACACACACACACACACACACACACACACACACACACACACGUGCACGCGCGAGUGUGUGUGUGUAUGUGUGUGUGUGUGUCUGUGUAUAUAUAUAUAAAUGAUAUAUCUCCAAGUCAGCAUUUGCUUCAGAAGAGAGAAGGAUGAUAAAGAAUUGACUACCUCUGGAUGAGGGUUGGUGUGGUCACAUGUUUUUCAGGCCAGAGUUCAGCAACCUUUUCACUUGGAACACCAGGACUCCCAGCCUCUUCUUUUUCUUGGGUCAGUGGUUGCAGAUGCCUUCAAACCAGAAUGACCUGGUCAGUCGCCCUGGGGCUAAUGGGGGAGGCAGCUGCCCUAUGAGUGGAAGGGGAGAGAUAGUUUUGAUCAUUUUAACAGCACAGUUGGUGCAGGCUGGCCUAGUGACAACAGUUGGAUAUGGGUUUCAGAUGGAACCUGAAGCAUGGUGAUAGUCCAAAGCCAUGGAGAACUAUCCUAUGGAUGAUCAGAGAGAGAGAGAGAGAAACCUAGCCUUCUUUCCACUCCACAAAAAGUAACAUGUCUGAGGUUGUCUGGGGAUGCUAUUGCCUGUUCUACAGAUUGUUUGUUUUCCUCCAGAAUGUCAUUUGUUAGAAAUAUAUGUAUAUAUAUAUAUAUAUAUACACACAUAUAUGUAUGUAUGUACAUGUAUAUAUAUACACACAUAUAUGUAUGUAUAUAUAUAUGAUUCUAACAAAUAUAUGCUUUUAACAAAUAUAUAUAUACAUACACACAUAUAUACAUACAUAUAUACAUAUAUGUAUAUAUAUGUCUUUGUUUUUGUUUCUUUUUACAGGAAGAUGUCAGAGAGGUAGGGGAUGAAGGCAGGCAAUGAGAAGAUGAGAAGAAGCCACUGAUGUAGUCCCAGAUCUCUGAUUUCGGGAGGCAGGGAGCCUGAAGAGGAGAUAGCGAGCCUCUAAGGCCAGCGUUGGCUUGCCUCUGGGUGUGGCAGCACGUAUUAGGACUAAAGAGUUAUGAGGGGAGUGUGGGGUAGUGGUGACAUCCCUGUCUUUGGGCCAUGUUGGAGUUUUUGUUUGGAAGACGAA